GAAGGUUUACCUAUCUGGGAUAGAUGG
rnacentral:piRNA from 1 species